rnacentral:lncRNA from 1 species
CAUCAGACGACAUUUCCUCUCUCAGGUACACCUCCAAUUUCAAAUUUUGGCAAGUUGAUUUCAAUGUUAUGACUUGCCUAUGUUAUGUCUGAGUUUUAUAUGUCUGAUAUUUGAGAUGUUUUGCAGUAAUAAUUUGCUAGUUAUGAAAACAGAUUUUUAAUUGCAUAACAUAGUGGAGUAGUACAUGGUCGAACAGACAAGAACUUAGUUACUGCAUAAAGAAAGGACUAGUAUAUGAGCAAAUUGGAAAGAUAGAAAAUACAAGACAUGAUAGAGAGUACAACAACAAUUGACAUAGGAUCGAAAUGGCAUAGAGCUAGUAUUUGUUAGAUUCCUUUAGUGCCUCGAAUGCCUCCGCCUAACGAGCUUGCUGCAUGGAAAUUCGAUCAUUUUGUAGAGGAAGCUCCAUGAAAUUGUUAACACCUCCUUGCGAAAAGAGCUGAAUUGAUUUUGAUAGUGCUAUUGUAGAAUGCCUCAGCCCCCGAAUGGUGUUCUUCGUUAGAAUCCGACCCUUCACCAAUUUCUUUAAGAGUGGAUUUGUUGAAUAUGCCCCAGUUGGCCGAUAUCUUGGUUUUUAACAUGGUUGUACUUGAGGAAACGAGUGAGUGAGUGAAAGUUGGUAUGAAUAAUUGAGAAUAAAGGACCUUUUCAUCAUGGUUGGUUGGACUUAAAUGCAAU